AUGAAGGCAGCCGGAGAAGCUGGAGGAAGCAGCACGCUGCGGAUAUUGGUGGCGACCGAUUGCCACCUCGGCUACCUAGAGAAGGACGAGCUACGCCGAUCCGACUCAUUCGACACCUUCGAGGAGAUCUUCUCACUGGCAGAGAAACACAAUGUGGAUUUCCUGCUUCUCGGUGGCAAUCUGUUCCACGAGAACAAGCCGUCACGCUCGACGCUGGUGAAGACGAUCGAGAUCCUGAGGCGGCGCUGCCUCCACGACCGGCCGGUCCAGUUCCAGGUGGUCAGUGAUCAUGCAGCCAGCCUGCAGAACUUGUUUGGUCGACCGAAUUUUGAGGACCAAAACAUCAACGUUGGCUUGCCUGUGUUCACCAUCCAUGGCGACCAUGAUGAUCCUACAGGAGUGGAUAAUAUGUCCGCCAUCGAUGUCCUUGCUGCGACCGGUUUAGUGAAUUACUUUGGAAAGAUGGAUCUUGGCGGUUCUGGCGUCGGUCACAUGUCAAUUCAUCCUAUACUUAUCAAAAAGGGUGCAACUUCUGUCGCAUUAUAUGGCUUGGGGAACGUUAGGGAUGCAAGAUUAAGCAGAAUGUUUCAGACACCAGGUGCAAUAGGUUGGAUGAAACAUGAGAGUACAGAGGAUAUAUCACUGUCUGACUGGUUCAACAUUCUGGUUCUUCAUCAGAACAGGAUAAAUGGAAGUCCAGACAACGGCAUCAAUGAACGUCUAUUACCAAACUUUCUGGAUUUAGUAAUAUGGGGCCAUGAGCAUGAAUGCCUUGUUGAUCCCAAGGAGGUUCCUGGAAUGGGUUUCCACAUCACGCAGCCAGGAUCUUCAAUUGCCACAUCGAUGACCAGUGCUGAAGCAAAACAAAAGCAUGUUCUUUUGUUGGAAAUAAACGGAAUGAAAUACAGGCCAACUAAUAUACCUCUGAAGACUGUUAGACCUUUUGAAUAUGCCGAGGUUGUGUUAGAAGACCAAGCUGACAUCGACGCCAAUGAUGAAGCAUCUGUGGACGCACAUUUGGAUAAAGUAGUGGCCAAUCUUAUUGAGAAGAAUGACACAACAGCAGGCAGUGGAUCAGAGCCCAAACUUCCACUUGUUAGGAUAAAGGUGGACUACACUGGGUUCUUAACAAUACACCCACAACGGUUCGGUCAGAAGUAUGUUGGGAAGGUUGCCAACCCACAAGACAUUAUUGUUUUCUCAAGGUCAGCAAAAAGGCGCCAAAACACGCAAGAUACCGCUGGCGGUUCCAGAGAACUCUACCCAAAUGAGCUUAAUCAACACACGGUCGAAGCUUUGGUUGCAGAAAUUAACUUGAAUAUGCAGGUUCUUCGGCUAGAUGACCUGGACACUGCCCUGCAUGUUUUCGUCAACAAGGAUGACAAUAUGGCAUUUCACUCUUGCUUGCAGAAGAACACCGAAGAGGCAAUAAACAUGUUGACUGCCAGCAAGGUAGAUACUGACAUCGAAGAUGGAGAUGCAAUGGUAGUACAUGAUUUGGAUCAGUUCAUGCAGGCACGAGAGAAGGGAAGAACCCAAACGGCCACGGGCGCCCAGAGCCUCCCAACCAGCACGGCGCUCAGCGCAUUUGAGGAGCUGAAAUGCUCCCCGGAUCCGGACCAAGAUAUCCGCGACGAUUCGGAUGAGCUCAUUGAAACAUCGGAUGGAGAGUGCCAUCAUGAGAAGAUGGCAAGGCCGGGGAAGCGGCCGGCCCCUUUUCCUGCCACGGCUGGGGGUUCUGCGUCUUCACCUUCUUCCUCGGCCCGGGGGAGGAAGACGGACCUGGCUUCGUUCCGCGCGCCUGCGGUGAAGGAAGAGUUGGACGACCGCGGGACCAAGAAAGGACGACCUUCCCCUCAUGUUGCUGGGAGGUAUGGCGCGGUAAGGAGGAACCGUUGA
rnacentral:rRNA from 1 species